UUUACUGUUACAAAGUAUUAAAUGGCAUAUAAUGGUCUAAAUCAAGCCCAGUAUGAACAUCAGGAGUGACAUUUCUUUUUCUGACAUAUGCAUACAGGCUUUUGGAAGAAAUGUAAUUAUUUACUAUUAAUAGAGAUUUCAAAGAAAUCAGUUCACAACGAUUCUGACGACAUCAAGAACAGAAGCCCAACUUUGCCACUACUGGUAUCUCCUUGGGGGAAGAUAGAUGAAGGGCAACAUGGAGUCAUUUAGAAAACGUACAUGUGCACUGAAGCCCUGGAAUGAAAUUGGAAAACAGUCUCAGAAGAGAGUUAUUCAAAGGAGUAGUGUCUUGAAAAGUACUGUUUUGAAUCCAGAGAAGAGCUUUGGGAAAAGGAAAAAAAAAAAUCUCUUCAGAGAACAAAG